UAGGGAAUCUUCCGCAAUGGACGAAAGUCUGACGGAGCAACGCCGCGUGAACGAUGAAGGCCUUCGGGUCGUAAAGUUCUGUUGUUAGGGAAGAACAAGUACCGGAGUAACUGCCGGUACCUUGACGGUACCUAACCAGAAAGCCACGGCUAACUACGUGCCAGCAGCCGCGGUAAUACGUAGGUGGCAAGCGUUGUCCGGAAUUAUUGGGCGUAAAGCGCGCGCAGGCGGUUCCUUAAGUCUGAUGUGAAAGCCCCCGGCUCAACCGGGGAGGGUCAUUGGAAACUGGGGAACUUGAGUACUGAAGAGGAAAGCGGAAUUCCACGUGUAGCGGUGAAAGGCGUAGAGAUGUGGAGGAACACCAGUGGCGAAGGCGGCUUUCUGGUCAGUAACUGACGCUGAGGCGCGAAAGCGUGGGGAGCAAACAGG
rnacentral:rRNA from 1 species